rnacentral:tRNA from 1 species
GCCGGCGUAGCUCAACGGAAGAGCAGCUGAUUUGUAAUCAGCAGGUUAAGGGUUCGAAUCCCUUCGCUGGCU